rnacentral:rRNA from 1 species
UUAUGUGCAUUCCUACAUUGUUAAUGCACCAGAUCCCAUUAGAACUCCACUUAUAAGCACUCUUGGGCUAGAUUAGUACUCGGAUGGGUGACCUCUCAAGAUGUCCUAGUUUUUUACAUGCC